rnacentral:rRNA from 1 species
AUACAUGGUCGUACAGAGGGUUGCCAAGCCGCGAGGCGGAGCCAAUCCCACAAAGCCGAUCGUAGUCCGGAUUGUUCUCUGCAACUCGAGAGCAUGAAGUCGGAAUCGCUAGUAAUCGCAGGUCAGCAUACUGCGGUGAAUACGUUCCCGGGUCUU